rnacentral:rRNA from 1 species
AUUGAACGCUGGCGGCAUGCUUUACACAUGCAAGUCGAACGGUAACAGGCCGCAAGGUGCUGACGAGUGGCGAACGGGUGAGUAAUGCAUCGGAACGUGCCCAGUCGUGGGGGAUAACCGCUCGAAAGAGCAGCUAAUACCGCAUACGAUCUAUGGAUGAAAGCGGGGGACCGUAAGGCCUCGCGCGAUUGGAGCGGCCGAUGUCAGAUUAGGUAGUUGGUGGGGUAAAGGCUCACCAAGCCAACGAUCUGUAGCUGGUCUGAGAGGACGACCAGCCACACUGGGACUGGGACACGGCCCAGACUCCUACGGGAGGCAGCAGUGGGGAAUUUUGGACAAUGGGGGCAACCCUGAUCCAGCAAUGCCGCGUGCAGGAAGAAGGCCUUCGGGUUGUAAACUGCUUUUGUACGGAACGAAACGGUCUGGGUUAAUACCCUGGGCUAAUGACGGUACCGUAAGAAUAAGCACCGGCUAACUACGUGCCAGCCGCCGCCGUAAGAC